AUUCCUGGCUCACACCCCGCAUCGUGGUGGAAGGGGCAGGGAGACAAGGCAGGAGGACCUGGAGCAAACCCGUGGGCAGGGGAAGGGAAGGAAACACACCCCGGCACCGAUCCUCUCCGCUGGGAUAACCUGGAUGUGGUCCACGGGACUGGCGAGCAGCUCUGUGCAGGGGUCGUGGGGCUGGCUGUCAGGGCGAGCUCAUCUGCCUCCAUCCGCCUGCGUGGCCGGGGGGCUCGCUGCGGGCACGGCGCCUCUCUCCAUCGGGCUCUGUCCUCUGCAGAAGGGCUCCUGGCGGUGGGAGGGGGUCCCGGCCCCUCCUGCCCAGCACCUCUGUCAGCUUCACCUGCCUGCUUCCCGGGAGAGCCUCAGGCUUUCACUCUUUCACUUUCAUUAGAUGGGAAUUUAAAAGAAAAGAAGGCUCCCAGGCCACAUUGCCACGCUUCUCCCUGGAAGUGCAGAGCGAUUCAGGAGGGAAAGCUCAUGGCUUUAUCCCAUCAGCUGCCUCCCAGAGCUGGAACUUGGGGAAAAAAAGAAACCCCAACCCACUGCAGGAGUCGUGGUAAGCACCAGGGCUUGCAGCCAGCCUCGGAUGUGAUGCUGCCCUGGGAAGUCCAAGCACAGGCAAUGCUGCAACCCCAAAAGAUAGCAGAGUAUGUACUUGAAGCCAGUCCUGCACAAAUAAUGAAAAAACACCCAUCAGGUGCUGCAAAGUCCCCUGGCCCAUGGUGCAUGGCGGGGCAGCUGCCCUGGGAGGAGGUCGCCUUUCCCUGCAGUGAGGGGUGCCAGCAGAGGAGGCUUAUUGCAGCCUGGGUGUUUUUUAGCAGCCUCAGCAGUGAUGGAUGAGGCAAAGACAUGCACAAAGGCUGGGUGCAGCUAUGUGGUUAUCGCCUUCUGAAAUAUAUUGCUCCACCUGCAGCAUUUUUCUUCCUGAUCACAGAGCGUGUGGGGAGGUGUGGGAGGGCCAACCCUUAAGUCGAAAAACCCAGCAUGAGCUGUGCAGCCUCUGCUGGGGGGCACCAGCCUGCGAGGCCAGCGGCAGAGCCCCCGACCCUUGGAGCAGCCUCGGGAUCGCAGUGCUACAGCUCAUCGCCCCCAGGAAGAAGCUGCCGUCCUUUAAUUUGUGCUUUAAUUUGACCUGACGAGUUAUUGCAGCAUUGUGCUUCCCUUCACAACCCUCCCUAGGCGUUUGCAAAAAGGUCUUGCAAAGGUCUGCAUCAGUGCACCGCCAGCCCACCAUGCUCCAAAAUUUUACCCAUGCCUGGUUAAUAGUUUUUGUAUCCCUGGGGCUGAAGCUCUGGAAGGAUGGAUUUUCCUUACCUUCGUGCCUGGGAACAACUGAGAACUAGCUCUUUAUUUAAAUAUAUAUUUCUGUACUUUUUUUUUUUUUUUUUUAAAUAAGUGUUUUUGAAGUCUCAUUGAAGAUGUUGUCACUGGAAUCAUUAUAUUUCUAUAGAGAUCAUAAUGACUCCUUUUGAAGAGUUAGUCUCAGUCAGUCAGUGCUUAAUUCACAUAUCAAUGA
rnacentral:lncRNA from 1 species